rnacentral:rRNA from 1 species
UGCAAGUCGAGCGAAUGGAUUAAGAGCUUGCUCUUAUGAAGUUAGCGGCGGACGGGUGAGUAACACGUGGGUAACCUGCCCAUAAGACUGGGAUAACUCCGGGAAACCGGGGCUAAUACCGGAUAACAUUUUGAACCGCAUGGUUCGAAAUUGAAAGGCGGCUUCGGCUGUCACUUAUGGAUGGACCCGCGUCGCAUUAGCUAGUUGGUGAGGUAACGGCUCACCAAGGCAACGAUGCGUAGCCGACCUGAGAGGGUGAUCGGCCACACUGGGACUGAGACACGGCCCAGACUCCUACGGGAGGCAGCAGUAGGGAAUCUUCCGCAAUGGACGAAAGUCUGACGGAGCAACGCCGCGUGAGUGAUGAAGGCUUUCGGGUCGUAAAACUCUGUUGUUAGGGAAGAACAAGUGCUAGUUGAAUAAGCUGGCACCUUGACGGUACCUAACCAGAAAGCCACGGCUAACUACGUGCCAGCAGCCGCGGUAAUACGUAGGUGGCAAGCGUUAUCCGGAAUUAUUGGGCGUAAAGCGCGCGCAGGUGGUUUCUUAAGUCUGAUGUGAAAGCCCACGGCUCAACCGUGGAGGGUCAUUGGAAACUGGGAGACUUGAGUGCAGAAGAGGAGAGUGGAAUUCCAUGUGUAGCGGUGAAAUGCGUAGAGAUAUGGAGGAACACCAGUGGCGAAGGCGACUUUCUGGUCUGUAACUGACACUGAGGCGCGAAAGCG